rnacentral:lncRNA from 1 species
AGCACUCUUUUUCUUCAGGCAAAUUCAUCACUUAAGUCAUUCAGAUCUGAACUCAACUCUUGUUCAAUGGUUCGUUCUCUUGCUCUCGUUCAAUUUUCGUUAUUGUGUUUGAUGCAUGUAUCAUCAUCUGAUGGGUGGUUUUUAUGCUGGCUUCUUGUGGUAGAGGUAGCUUUAUUUAUUUAAUUAUUUUUGGUUAAUUGAAUUAGUUAUCGAGUCGGAUACUGUGGGUGUGGUUGCUAUAACAUUUUGUAAAUUACAAAAAUUAAAUUGGACAGAUUUUACAUAUUUCGCUUGCUAUCGAGUCGGAUACUGGAUUUGGAUGUUUGGAAUGAUGAAUAUCGGUUGUGCUUUGCUGCUACUGUGCUUAGAUCCUUAAUUAUCUAUGUUAUGCCUGUUUUGGUCAUUUCUUCUGGGGAAGUGAUGUUCUGUUUCUUCAGGGUUGAAACAGAGGGUUGCUUGGUGUUUGGUUAUGAACAUAGUGAUUUUUUGUUUGACUUACUCUUGCUUCUUCUAUUUUUUUAAUAAUUUUUUAUCAGUUAAAAAUGUUUAGACUGGUAUGUUUUUUAUGUAUGCCUGAAUUGAUUGGCUUAUUUGAGUUUGAUUAAAAUGCUAAAUAAAUGGUGGAAGCAAGGAAUUGAAAAUUUGAUGAUAGUUUAUUAUUAUUGUAGGAACUUGAUGUAGUUAUAUUUGAAUGGACGAAUAUUGCUUCAGUACAUGAAUCAUUAUGGGCAACAGAUACCAUGCUUGUUUAGCAACAUGAGCAACCAAUCUCGAGAGAGCUUUUCUCAUAUUUCUAUUUUAUUUUCCUCCAGCCCUAGGAAUUGGACACUUUGACACCCUGGGAAUUUAAUUUCUGUUUUAUUUGUGUGUAACUGGUGCUGUAAUUGUUGUAUGUUCUAAUUUAUUUUUGAUUUUUUUUUCUGUUUCGUAG